CCCCUAGAUGUUCUGGGCCGCACGCGCACUACACUGAACAGUUCAACAAGUCUUAACCUUGGCCGAUAGGUCUGGGUAAUCUUUGAACGCUGUUCGUGAUUGGGAUAGACCUUUGCAAUUAUGGGUCUUCAACGAGGAAUUCCUAGUAAACGCAAGUCAUCAGCUUGCAUUGAUUACGUCCCUGCCCUUUGUACACACCGCCCGUCGCACCUACCGAUUGAAUGGUCCGGUGAAAUCUCGGGACGGCGGCUCGGUCGCUUGCGUCCGACUGCUGAAACUUGAUUAAACCAUAUCAUUUAGAGGAAGGUGAAGUCGUAACA
rnacentral:rRNA from 1 species